rnacentral:rRNA from 1 species
CUCUGUGACUCUACGGGAGGCAGCAGUGGGGGAAUAUUGCACAAUGGGCGCAAGCCUGAUGCAGCCAUGCCGCGUGUGUGAAGAAGGCCUUCGGGUUGUAAAGCACUUUCAGUCGUGAGGAAGGGUAGUGUAGUUAAUAGCUGCAUAUUUGACGUUAGCGACAGAAGAAGCACCGGCUAAUCCGUGCCAGCAGCCGCGGUAAUACGGAGGGUGCGAGCGUUAAUCGGAAUUACUGGGCGUAAAGCGCAUGCAGGUGGUUUGUUAAGUCAGAUGUGAAAGACCCGGGGCUCAACCUCGGAAAUUGCAUUUGAAACUGGCAGACUAGAGUACUGUAGAGGGGGGUAGAAUUUCAGGUGUAGCGGUGAAAAUGCGUAGAGAUCUGAAGGAAUACCCGGUGGCGAAGGCGGCCCCCCUCGGACAGAUACUGACACUCAGAUGCGAAAGCGUGGGGAGCAAACAGGAUUAGAUACCCCUGGGAG